rnacentral:rRNA from 1 species
GACGAACGCUGGCGGCGUGCUUAACACAUGCAAGUCGAACGAGUGGCGAACGGGUGAGUAACACGUGAGUAACCUGCCCCUUCUUCUGGAUAACUACUUCAAAGGGUAGCUAAUCCGGGCUAGUGGGGGUUGGGCUCGCGGCCUAUCAGCUUGUUGGUGGGGUGAUGGCCUACCAAGGCGGUGACGGGUAGCCGGCCUGAGAGGGUGGACGGCCACACGGGGACUGAGACACGGCCCAGACUCCUACGGGAGGCAGCAGUGGGGAAUAUUGCACAAUGGGCGCAAGCCUGAUGCAGCCAUGCCGCGUGUGUGAAGAAGGUCUACGGAUUGUAAGGCACUUUAAGUUGGGAGGCGUUACCAACAGAAUCAGCACCGGCUAACUUCGUGCCAGCCGCCGCGGUAAUAC